rnacentral:rRNA from 1 species
CCUACGGGAGGCAGCAGUGAGGAAUAUUGGUCAAUGGACGAGAGUCUGAACCAGCCAAGUAGCGUGAAGGAUGACUGCCCUAUGGGUUGUAAACUUCUUUUAUAAAGGAAUAAAACGAGGCACGUGUGCCUUUUUUCAUGUACUUUAUGAAUAAGGAUCGGCUAACUCCGUGCCAGCAGCCGCGGUAAUCCGGAGGAUCCGAGCGUUAUCCGGAUUUAUUGGGUUUAAAGGGAGCGUAGAUGGGUUGUUAAGUCAGUUGUGAAAGUUUGCGGCUCAACCGUAAAAUUGCAAUGGAUACUGGCAGUCUUGAGUACAGUUGAGGUAGGCGGAAUUCGUGGUGUAGCGGUGAAAUGCUUAGAUAUCACGAAGAACCCCGAUUGCGAAGGCAGCUUACUAAACUGUGACUGACAUUGAUGCUCGAAAGUGUGGGUAUCAAACAGGAUUAGAUACCCGAGUAGUC